UGAAUUGCAAAGUACUGUUCCACAUGGGU
rnacentral:piRNA from 1 species